AGUUCGAUCAUGGCUCAGAUUGAACGCUGGCGGGAUGUUUACACAUGCAAGUCGAACGGCAGCACGGACUUCGGGUCUGGUGGGCGAGUGGCGAACGGGUGAGUAAUGUAUCGGAACGUGUCAUAGUAGCGGGGAUAACUACGCUGCCGAAAGCGGUGGCUAAUAACGGCACACGCCUUCGGGGGAAAGCGGGGGGACCUUCGCCUCGCACUAUUAGAGCGGCCGAUAUCGGAUUAGCUAGUUGGUGGGUAACCAUCACCAAGUCGACGAUCCGUAGCUGGCUGGAGAGGACGACCAGCCACACUGGGACUGAGCGACGGCCCAGACUCCUACGGGAGGCAGCAGUGGGGAAUUUUGGACAAUGGGGAAACCCCUCGAUCCAGCCAUCCCCCAAGCGUGUGCGAUGAAGGCCUUCGGGUUGUAAAAGCACUUUUGGCAGGAAAGAAACGGGCACGGGAUAAUACCUCCGUGCAACUGACGGUACCUGCAGAAUAAGCACCGGCUAACUACGUGCUGCCAGCAGCCGCGGUAAUACGUAGGUGCAAGCGUUAAUCGGAAUUACUGGGCGGAAGCGUGCGCAGGCGGUUCGGAAAGAAAGAUGUGAAAUCCCAGAGCUUAACUUUGGAACUGCAUUUCUAACUACCGAGCUAGAGUGUAUCAGAGGGAGGUGAAUCGCGUGUAGCAGUGAAAUGCGUAGAUAUGCGGAGGAACACCGAUGGCGAAGGCAGCCUCCUGGGACAACACUGACGCUCAUGCACGAAAGCGUGGGGAGCAAACAGGAUUAGAUACCCUGGUAGUCCACGCCCUAAACGAUGUCAACUAGCCGUUGGGGCCUUCGGGCCUGCAGGCAGCGCAGCGACUGCGUGAAGCUGCUGAUCAUGUUCAGAGGCAUGGGCUGCAAGAUUAAAACCUGCAUGAAUUGACGGGACCUUACAAGCGGUGGAUGAUAUGGGAUUAACUGAUGCACGCGAAAACUACCUACCCUGACAUGUCUGGAAUCCCGAAGAGAUUUGGGAUGUUUCAAGAGAACCGAACACAGGUGCUGCAUGGCUGUCGUCAGCUGUGUCGAGAUGCCGGGUUAAGUCCGCAACGAGCGCAACCCUUUGUCAUUAGUUGCUACGAAAGGGCAAUUUAAUGAGACUGCCGGUGACAAACCGGAGGAAGGUGGGGAUGACGUCAAGUCCUCAUGGCUCCCAGGUAGGGCUUCACACGUCAUACAAUGGUCGGGACAGAGGGUCGCCAACCCGCGAGGGGGAGCCAAUCCCAGAAACCCGAUCGUAGUCCGGAUCGCAGUCUGCAACUCGACUGCGUGAAGUUCAACCGUAAUCGCGGAUCAGCAUGUCGCGGUGAAUACGUCUUCGGGUCUUGUACACACCGCUCGUCACACCAUGGAGUGGGUUUUACCAUGAAGUAGUUAGUCGCAACCGUAAGGAGGGCGAUUACCACGGUAGGAUUCAUGAUCAGUGAAGUCGUACAAGGUAA
rnacentral:rRNA from 1 species